GACAUGCAUGUCUAAGUACACAGUUUAGUAAACUGAAACCGCGGAUGGCUCAUUAUAACAGCUAUGAUUUGAGAGAUCUAAUCUAUUUGCCACAAGAUAACUGUGGUAAUUCUAGAGCUAAUAUUUUAAAGAAUGCCGUGACUCACGAAGCGGCGGAUUUAUUAGAUCAAAACUAAUCUAUCGCAAGAUAGAAUUUUGAUGACUCUGGAUAACUUUACUGAUCGUACAACAUUUAGUUGACGACAUAUCUCUUGAAAUGGCUGACCUAUCAACUUUAGAUGGUAAGAUCAAAGCUUACCAUGGUUGUAACGGGUAACGGGGAAUCAGUGUUCGAUUCCGGAGAGGGAGCCUGAGAAACGGCUACCACAUCCACGGAAGGCAGCAGGCGCGAAAAUUACCCAAUACCGGUUCGGUGAGGUAGUGACAAUAAAUAACAAUAUGGACCAUUAUUGGUUUCAUAAUUGCAAUGAGAACAUUUUAAAUACUUUAUCAAGUAUCAAUUGGAGGGCAAGUCUGGUGCCAGCAGCCGCGGUAAUUCCAGCUCCAAUAGCGUAUAUUAAAGUUGUUGCAGUUAAAAAGCUCGUAGUUGAAAUUGAGGAACUGAAUUAAUGAACUGUCAUUGAUGGAUUGUUAAUUCUUCCUUCGUCGUCGUGUAUAUUAUAGAGUCACUUAAUUGGGAUUUUAUAAUGACCGACAAGUUUACUUUGAAAAAAUUAGAGUGCUUAAAGCAGGCUUAUGCUUGCAUAUUGUUGCAUGGAAUAAUGAAAUAAGACUUUGGUUUUAUUUUGUUGGUUUUCGAAACUAAAGUAAUGAUUAAAAGAGACUGCCGGGGGCAUAUGUAUGCUGGUGCUAGAGGUGAAAUUCUUAGACCAUCAGCAGACAAUCUACUGCGAAAGCAUUUGCCAAGAAUGUUUUCAUUAAUCAAGAACGAAAGUCAGAGGAUCGAAGACGAUCAGAUACCGUCCUAGUUCUGACCAUAAACUAUGCCAACUGACAGUUAGCAAAGAUAUUUCAUCAUCUUGCUAGAAGUCACCGGGAAACCAAAGUCUUUGGGUUCCGGGGGAAGUAUGGUUGCAAAGCUGAAACUUAAAGGAAUUGACGGAAGGGCACCACCAGGAGUGGAGCCUGCGGCUUAAUUUGACUCAACACGGGAAAUCUCACCCGGUCCGGACACUGUGAGGAUUGACAGAUUGAUAGCUCUUUCUUGAUUCGGUGGGUGGUGGUGCAUGGCCGUUCUUAGUUGGUGGAGUGAUUUGUCAGGUUAAUUCCGAUAACGAACGAGACUCUAACUUGCUAAAUAGUGUAUUGAUUUUAAUCCGUAAAUAAUCACUUCUUAGAAGAAUAA
rnacentral:rRNA from 1 species